GCCUCCUUGGCUCAGUUGGUUAGAGCGCCAGUCUCAUACUGUUACAGCAUGAUCCCAGUUUCUGGGACUUAAUCUGGAGGUCACAAGUUCGAACCUUGUAGGGGGCA